CGCCAAAAGAAGAUAAAGGAGGUCACUACUGUGCCUCAUCUGGUGCCGCAGGCAGCAGCCGCGGAGUCACGUUCUGGUGCUGCGAAGAAGCAGGCAGAAGAGGUGGCUGCGGGAGGGACAGCUGCGGGUCCCCCUGUGAUUGGUGAGAAGAGGAGGCCAGAGCAGAAAGCUGCUGGUGGUGUUGAAACCAAACGUCGGAGGCUAGUAACCAAAAGGUCUGCUCCGGCGCAGAAAAAACCUGCGGUUGUCGUUGAGCGUCAGGAUGAAGAUUUUUCUAUCUUCGAUGCUCCGGAGUCCCCUCCGCGUGCCAUGGGUGCGGGUGGAACGGAGGUGCC